CCUUCUAACUUUCCUUUAAGUGACACUUCAUAGCAGCUGCUAGUUUUAUAAUCAUUACGUGUUUGAGCAUAGUACACAGUGUAAGAAAUAAGUGUUACACUGAAGAGGACCGCAGAGUUUAAAUGCGAUGGAAUUUUAUCCUACAUAUAUUAUUUUUAAUAUGAUUGUAGACGAGAAAAGAGAGGGAGAAGAAAUUUAUAAUUGUAUUAUUCGGCAAAUGCUGUACAUUUUGUAAAUUAAUUUUUGUUAAGCAAUUCAAAGGUAGACUACUAUUUUUACAUUGAGGACGAAAGUAUUUAUGUUAUCUUUUACUAAGUUUUUUAAAACUAGUAACUGAAUAUAUAUUUUUGUACGUACAAUAUGUGUGUGUUUCAUGAAAUUAGUGAAACCAGUGAAUCGAGUGUAAUAUUUACUGAAUAAUACAAUAUUGUUUGAGGUAAUGGAUGAUACUCACAGGCAUUUAAAAAUGCCUUGAAUAUAGGAUUGGAUUAAGACUUAUUUUUGGUACCUGGUUUUUGCUGUCAAGUUAUUGCCCUAAGGCAUUAGUGCUUAAUCACGCUUUGGAGCUUUAGUACUCCUAAAUAACGAUCAAUUUUUGUUAGAUUAUUAGGAAAAUUAUUUCGUCAUUAAGAACUUGUUACAAAGAUUCUACCAAUGGGUCUAGUUGUACGAACUCAUAGCAAGUUAUUUUUAUAUUGCACGGAAGCAACACAGAAUCAACGCGAACAAAUGUACACUAUAGGUAUCUUAUAAGGGAACGCAAAUAAAAAAUAUUUUUUACUCGCAUGAAGAAGAAAUUGAAUAAACCAUUCAUCGUUGUUCAUUUAAUGAGGUAAUAGGACUUGAAAAGAUCAAGUGCAAUAUCUCUUAAGAUAACAUAUAUAUAAUCAAUAAUUUAACUGUUUAUACAUAAAUAAUAUGGGUAUGCGGGUACCCGAUAAUUUCUAGCACCCAAGUCUCGGAUCAAAUUGGGCUAGGCGUUAUCCCGAAAGUUUGACAAGCACAUAAAUUUGUCCGAGUACUCGCACACCCUUGAUAAAUAACUUAAGAGCUUUACAAUAAAUACUAAAUCUAUUCCUUUUCUUA